rnacentral:rRNA from 1 species
GUGCCAGCCGCCGCGGUAAUACCGGCAGCUCAAGUGAUGUCCCAUAUUAUUGGGCCUAAAGCGUCCGUAGCUGGCCAGACAAGUCCGUUGGGAAAUCCACGCGCUCAACGCGUGGGCGUCCAGCGGAAACUGCCUGGCUUGGGGCCGGAGGACUCGAGGGGUACGUCCGGGGUAGGAGUGAAAUCCCGUAAUCCUGGACGGACCACCGGUGGCGAAAGCGCCUCGAGAGGACGGAUCCGACAGUGAGGGACGAAAGCCAGGGUCUCCUACCGGAUUAGAAACCCCAGUAGUCC